UUUUGUUUUGAAUGAAGAAAAUGUUCAAACGUUUCAUCAAAACAAUAAUAAUAAUCCCACCAGAGUGAGGAUCGCGUGAGCAUUAUUUGCCAGAUCCGCAUAAACAAAAGCACGCACGCAAGCAAGCAUUUCGUGUUCCUUAUCUCUCUCUGCGUGUCGCUGCAUUUCCCUCUCUCUCUCUUACCAAAACCCUAAAUCUACCCUUUCUUAUAUGUAUAUGGAAGAGAAAGAGUAAUCAGAAACAGCAAUCAAUCGCAGCAUCGAUUCAACUAUGGAGUCAGAACUUAAAGACCUGAAUUCGAAACCGCCGAAAUCAAAUGGCAAUAGCAAUAGCAUUCGGGAUGAUCGUCCUCUGCUGAAGUCGGAGUCGCUCUUCUCCGACAGCGCGGUGGAACUCCAAGACCUCGAGAAGAAAUUCGCCGCGUAUGUUAGGCGCGACGUGUACGGAACUAUGGGUCGCGGAGAGUUGCCUACAAAGGAGAAGCUCUUGCUCGGUUUCGCUUUAGUUACUCUUCUCCCUAUUAGAGUCCUUCUCGCUGUCACCAUCUUGCUCUUCUAUUACUUCAUUUGUAGGGUUUGUACACUCUUCUCUGCGCCUAAUCGUGAGGACGAGCAAGAAGAUUACGCUCACAUGGGUGGCUGGAGGAGAACCGUUAUUGUUGCCUGUGGGAGAGCUCUCUCUAGAGCCAUGCUCUUCAUUUUCGGCUUUUAUUGGAUCCCCGAAUCCCGCCAUGCUGUUCUCAACUCUACCUCUCAGGAAGACAAGCAUCAGCCUGAAGAGUUGGGAAGACCUGGUGUCAUAAUAUCUAAUCAUGUGUCAUACUUGGAUAUUUUAUAUCACAUGUCAUCCUCGUUCCCAAGUUUUGUUGCUAAGAGAUCAGUGGCUAAACUUCCUCUUGUUGGUCUCAUCAGCAAGUGCCUUGGUUGUGUCUAUGUUCAGCGGGAAUCAAAGUCAUCGGACUUCAAGGGUGUUUCAGCUGUUGUUACUGAAAGAAUUCGAGAAGCUCAUCAGAAUAAGUCUGCUCCAUUCAUGAUGUUAUUUCCAGAAGGUACAACCACAAAUGGAGACUUCCUCCUUCCGUUCAAGACUGGUGGUUUUUUGGCAAAGGCACCAGUACUUCCUGUGAUUUUAAGAUAUCAUUACCAGAGAUUUAGCCCCGCCUGGGAUUCCAUAUCUGGGGUGCGACAUGUGAUAUUUCUCCUCUGUCAGUUUGUAAAUUAUAUGGAGGUUGUUCAAUUUCCUGUUUACUAUCCCUCACAGCAGGAGAUGGAUGACCCCAAACUAUAUGCUAAUAAUGUUAGAAGGCUAAUGGCUACUGAGGGUAAUUUGAUACUUUCCGAUAUUGGACUAGCCGAAAAACGAAUAUAUCAUGCUGCUCUCAAUGGUAAUAAUAGCCUGCCUAGUGUUUUGCAUCAGAAAGACGAUUGAUAAUUUCAUGGCCCCGGUGUCAAAUGAUAUGUAGUUUCAGUCGAGUUUUCAGUUUUGAACUUGGUAUUUGAUUAUGAAUGGAGAGCUUGCGUGAGGUUUGUUUUCCCAAUGCUAAUUCUUCGGAUUCGUGGUCUGUAUAUUCCUUGUAUGGUUCCAUUAUUUAUCAGGAAAGAAAAAGAAAUCAAUAUAGAAAAUUCUGUGCAGAACAAGUAUUAUAUUUGAAAAUGUAAUUAUCUGAUAAGUUAACUGCCUCUGGAGC